UCCUUUCUGAUGUAGUGGUCAACUCUAUCGCCCCUCGUUCGGUUCCACUGAAUGAUGCGUGAUAGUCCAGGGUUCAAUUCCCUGGAAAGCAA